UCACCAGACUAGGUAAAAAUUGGAAUUGCUUUUGUCUGUUCUGACACGGACUGAAACCAUAAUGUAGGUACAGGCAAAGUCACUGGAGAGCAGAGCUGUGCUGUUCUCGCCAAAUGGACAUUCAACAGCUCCUCUCUGCACUGAAGAAUCCAGUCACAUAACCAACAGACUGAGUUCCCUGAAAACUCUUCUUAGACACGGUUCAGACAAAUACAGCUGACAAACUCACCCAACAACGCUGCCUAACCUCGUACAUACGAAGACUGCAAGACUUGGCUGAGUGAACAUAAAGUGCACAUAGAUAAAUCUGUGAUUGUCUUACCAACUGAAGACAACAAGAAGCAUAUGAGUAAUCCUAGUUCUUAAAUAAUCUGCCUGAGCAAAGAGAAAUCAGUGAUAUAAACCCUGUUAAGUAGAAAAUGUCACUGGGAUCAAUAGACGUAAACUAUAAGCUCAUGAUUUUAUCUCCUCAGGAAAGUUUGCACACGUAAUGAAAUGGCUGAGAACUGUGUGGUGACCAUGCAAGACACUGCAGUGAACUGGAAGCGGAGGAAAGAGAUUUGGUUUGGCAACUGGAUUGUUGUUUUGCUUCCCAGAAUCACCAGCAUCCCUACUGAAACUGAGAUACCCCUCGCAGAACAUAACAGGCUCAAACUCACGUAUGUAUUUUCUGCAUAGAAGAAAGUUUCUUGUCAUAAGCUGUGCUCAGAAUGAUGGCCUGGCGACACACCCAGACCUGGGAAGUGCCCCCAGGCCCAGCAGUGCAGAGAAAUCCCGAGAACCUGAGCACAACUGUCAGACGGACAGACAUCCAGCAGAGCCAGCUUCACCACAGCUCCUUCCCUUAAACUCCUAGAGAUCUUGGCAGUAGAAAGUGGGAUGAGAGAAGAGUUCCAGCAGCAGCUCUGCCCACGGAGGAGGUGGUGAUACAACACUUUGUUCCUCUGCAUUGAUCAGUCUCCUUUUCAGCCCAUUAUGAUAUUUCCCUGUAUUUCAUGCACCAAAUGAUAAAAGAUUUAUAAUUCAGUAUUGCAUCAAGUGCUUUUCUGCAAUCAAUAAGUAUUACUUCUACCAGAAUGCCUCUGUAUAACAAACAUGCAAUUACAGUGAUUUUAAGUAUCAGGUUUGUCUGACCUAAUAUGUUUUAUUAACCUGUGGUUUUUAGUGUUCAUCAGGCUUUUUCACUCUAUAUAUUUACUCAUGAUUUUUAUUUUAUUUUUUAUCUUAACAUAAGCUCAUGGAAAAUUUAAACUAGUGAUUGGAGUUUCUUCAGUUUCUCUGUGAAAAACACUCUUCUGCUUUUAUUCAACCAAUAAAUUUUUAUUGUUCCUGUUUUCAUAUAUUUAUUCUGUUUAUUUAUUACAGUGCAAGUGCACAGUAAAGAAACUGAGCUGGCUUACGUAAAAGAAGUUAAACAUUGUCUUUGGCCUUUUUGUGACAUCCUGAACUUCAAAUAUACUUUUGCACC